rnacentral:rRNA from 1 species
AAUAUUGGUCAAUGGAGGCAACUCUGAACCAGCCAUGCCGCGUGCAGGAUGACGGUCCUAUGGAUUGUAAACUGCUUUUGUACCGGGAGAAAACAUACUACGUGUAGUAAAUUGACAGUACGUUAAGAAUAAGGAUCGGCUGCCGCCGUGCCAGCCGCCGCGGUAAUACGGAGGAUCAAAGCGUUAUCCGGAAUCAUUGGGUUUAAAGGGUCCGUAGGCGGCCUUAUAAGUCAGCGGUGAAAGUUUUUGGCUUAACCAAAAAAUUGCCGUUGAUACUGUAGGGCUUAAUUUUUGUGAAGUAACUAGAAUAUGUAGUGUAGCGGUGAAAUGCUUAGAUAUUACAUGGAAUACCAAUUGCGAAGGCAGGUUACUAACAAACGAUUGACGCUGAUGGACGAAAGCGUGGGUAGCGAACAG